UCACUGAGGGGAUCGAACGCCUAACCUUUCGAUCUGGAGUCGAACGCGCUACCAUUGCGCCAAGCG
rnacentral:tRNA from 1 species